rnacentral:rRNA from 1 species
CCUUCGGGAGGCAGCAGUGGGGAAUAUUGCACAAUGGGGGAACCCCUGAUGCAGCGACGCCGCGUGAGUGAAGAAGUAUUUCGGUAUGUAACGCUCUAUCAGCAGGGAAGAAAGAGGACGGUACCUGACUGAGGAGCCCCGGCUAACUACGUGCCAGCAGCCUCGGUAAUACGUAGGGGGCAAGCGUUAUCCGGAUUUACUGGGGGUAAAGGGAGCGUAGACGGCGCGGCAAGUUUGACGGGAAAGGCACGGGCUGAACCCCUGAACUGCUUUUGAAACUGCCAUGCUAGAGUGCUGGAGAGGUAAGUGGAAUUCCUGGUGUAGCGGUGAAAUGCGUAGAUAUGAGGAGGAACACCAGUGGCGAAGGCGGCUUACUGGACAGUAACUGACGUUGAGGCUCGAAAGCGUGGGGAGCAAACAGGAUUAGAUACCCGAGUAGUC